GGAGUCUGGGCCGUGUCUCAGUCCCAAUGUGGCCGGCCAACCUCUCAGUCCGGCUACUGAUCGUCGCCUUGGUGGGCCGUUACCCCGCCAACUAGCUAAUCAGACGCGAGGCCAUCUCAGAGCGAUAAAUCUUUGGCAGUCAAUACCAUGCGAUAUAACUGCUUCAUGCGGUAUUAGCACAAAUUUCUCUGUGUUAUUCCCCUCUCCAAGGCAGGUUCCUCACGCGUUACUCACCCGUCCGCCACUAAGAAUUCCCAUCACUUGUCCGAAAACUCGUUCAGGGGUUCUCCGUUCGACUUGCAUGUGUUAAGCACGCCGCCAGCGUUCAUC
rnacentral:rRNA from 1 species